GACGUAGGGCGCGAGCGUUGUCCGGAUUUAUUGGGCGUAAAGAGCUCGUAGGCGGCUUGUCGCGUCGACUGUGAAAACCCGCGGCUCAACUGCGGGCCUGCAGUCGAUACGGGCAGGCGUAGAGUUCGGUACGGGGAGACUGGAAGUUCCUGGUGUAGCGGUGAAAUGCGCAGAUAUCAGGAGGACACCGAUGGCGAAGGCAGGUCUCUGGCUGACACUGACGCUCAUGCACGAAAGCGUGGGGAGCGAACAGGG
rnacentral:rRNA from 1 species